GAAACGCGAAAUGUAAUGUGAAUUGCAGAACCCCCGUGAAUCAUCGAAUCUUUGAACGCACCUUGCGCCCAGGGGCAUUCCCCUGGGCAUGCCUGUCUGAGUGUCGCGCCCCUCUCGCUCAAGUUGCUUGAUGCGGACCGUGGCGGCGGCCGUCUGGCCCCGCCGAAACGCGCUCGGGACCCGGUCCGACGUUGUAGACCGUCGUCGGCCGCCCCUCGUUCGACCUUUUCGACCUCAGAUCAAGCAGGACUACCCGCUGAACUUAA
rnacentral:misc_RNA from 1 species